rnacentral:lncRNA from 1 species
CUCUGACUCAAACUAUUACAAUAGAUUCUCAAUUGUUCUCUCUUCCUCCAAUCUCUUCCCCAUAUCCAUCCAUUCUCCAUACAACUAGGAAGCUAAUAUUUCUAAAAGACAGGUUUUUGGAGGUGUGCUGGAGUCAGCUCAAAUUUUCAGUGUAUUGACAUUUCAGAAAUUUAACUAUACAUCAAGGGUUAAUUUGUUGCUUUGUGGGUUGUCUAGACUUAGGAAAGUGUUAAUAAAAUAAAUUAAACUUAGAAUUGUGUGUGCUUAUAUCUUCCCCUCCCCAGGCCUGUAUUGGUCUAUAAACAUUACUUGAGUUUAGCAGGAGUGCAGCAGAAGACUAGAGAAAUGAAGUCAGUCAAUAAACAUCAAUUAAGAGCCUACUAUGUGCUAGUCACGAUGCUAAAGCACUGAAGACACAGAAAGAGGUAAAAGACAAUCCUUGCUCUCAAGGAGCUCAUAAUCUAAUAGGGAGAAAACAUGUGAAUAUGUACAAACAAGCUACGUACAAGAUAAAUAGAAAAUAAAUAAGAGAAGUGAGGCACUAAAAUUAAGAAGCAUUAGGAAACUGGUGGCUAACAAUAACAACAAAAAUAAGUGUCAUUUAUAGGAGGUUUUAAGGUUUGCAAAGUGCUUUACAUCCAUUACCUUGUUUGAACCUCACAACACUCCUGGGUCUGACCAAAUUACUCCCUUGCCCAAAAAGCUUCAAUAGCUCCUCAUUGCUCUUAGGAUAAAAUACAAACUCCUCCGUUUAUCAUUUAAUGUCCUUUAUCAUCUAGAUAUAAUCUAUUCCUAACUGAUUUGGGAUUACUCCUCAUUCUACUCCCAACAUCCCCGGCGCAUCAGUCUCCUUACUUUUUCUCCUACACAAUGUUCCACAUGCAGAUUUCCAUGUCACCUUCCUGACAUUGCAUAAGUUGUCCCCCAUGCUUGGAAUGGCAUCCUUCUUCAUCUCUGCUUCUUGGACUCUCUACCUCCCUUCAAGCCUCAAUAGAGCCCAUGAGAUCCAGCGUCUUCAUUUUAUGAAGGAAGAAACUGUCACUCAGAGGAAUAAGUGCUCUUCCCAAGGUCAUUCUGAGAAUACGAGACAGGAUUUGAACAUAGGUCCCCUGACUAUCAAGACUUUGCUCUUCCACUGGCCACAUUCUUUUUAUGAAAAAGAUACACAAGAGAAUCACAGUUUCAGAGCUGGAAAGGAUCUUCUUGACCACCAAAUUUAAUCCAUAUCUAAUUAAGCAUCUCCUCUACAACAUGCCCAAUAAAUCAUGUGUCAUCCACA